AGUGAACGCUGGCGGCGUGCUUAACACAUGCAAGUCGAACGGUAGCAGAUAGAAGCUUGCUUCUAUGCUGACGAGUGGCGCACGGGUGAGUAAUGUAUAGCUAACGUGCCCCUUAGAGGGGGAUAACAGUUGGAAACGACUGCUAGUACCCCAUACUCCUUUUAUAUUAAUUAUAGAUGGGAAAUGUUUUUUCGCUAAGGGAUCGGGCUAUAUGGUAUCAGCUAGUUGGUGAGGUAAUGGCUCACCAAGGCAAUGACACCUAGCUGGUCUGAGAGGAUGAUCAGCCACACUGGAACUGAGACACGGUCCAGACUCCUACGGGAGGCAGCAGUGGGGAAUAUUGCACAAUGGACGCAAGUCUGAUGCAGCAACGCCGCGUGGAGGAUGACACAUUUCGGUGCGUAAACUCCUUUUAUAUAGGAAGAUAAUGACGGUACUAUAUGAAUAAGCACCGGCUAACUCCGUGCCAGCAGCCGCGGUAA
rnacentral:rRNA from 1 species